GUCAAGGGGGCCCGAGGCGCAGCCUUGGGCGACCGGCGAACGGGUGCGUAACACGUGAGCAACCUACCGAAAUGUGGGGGAUAGCCGGCCCAACGGCCGGGUAAUACCGCAUACGCUCGAGACCAGGCAUUUGGACUCGAGGAAAUUUACGGAGCAUUUCGAGGGGCUCGCGGCCUAUCAGCUAGUUGGUGAGGUAACGGCUCACCAAGGCGACGACGGGUAGCUGGUCUGAGAGGAUGGCCAGCCACAUUGGGACUGAGAUACGGCCCAGACUCCUACGGGAGGCAGCAGUGGGGAAUCUUGCGCAAUGGCCUAACGGCUGACGCAGCGACGCCGCGUGAGGGAUGACGCUCUUCGGAGUGUAAACCUCUUUUGUCUGAGACGAACUGUCAGCUUUAGCUGAUUUGACGGUAUCGGGCGAAUAAGCACCGGCUAACUCCGUGCCAGCAGCCGCGGUAAUACGGGGGGUGCGAGCGUUGUCCGGAAUCACUGGGCGUAAAGGGCGCGUAUGUGGUCUUAUAAGGGUGUGGUGAAAGCCCGGGGCUCAACCCCGGGUCGGCCGUGCCGACUGUGAGACUAGAGUGCUGUAGGGGCAGGUGGAAUUCCGGGUGUAGCGGUGGAAUGUCGUAGAGAUCCGGAGGAAGACCGGUGGCGAAUGCGGCCUGCUGGGCAGAUACUGACACUGAGCGCGACAGCGUGGGGAGCAAACAGGAUUAGAUACCCUGGUAGUCCACGCCGUAACGAUGGGUACUAGUGCCUGGGGGAG
rnacentral:rRNA from 1 species